rnacentral:rRNA from 1 species
GCUUCCAGGAAAAGCCUCUAAGCAUCAGGUAACAUCAAAUCGUACCCCAAACCGACACAGGUGGUCAGGUAGAGAAUACCAAGGCGCUUGAGAGAACUCGGGUGAAGGAACUAGGCAAAAUGGUGCCGUAACUUCGGGAGAAGGCACGCUGAUAUGUAGGUGAAGCGACUUGCUCGUGGAGCUGAAAUCAGUCGAAGAUACCAGCUGGCUGCAACUGUUUAUUAAAAACACAGCACUGUGCAAACACGAAAGUGGACGUAUACGGUGUGACGCCUGCCCGGUGCCGGAA